AUGCAAUCUGGUUUCCAAGCUGGCCAUGGGUGCACCUCAGCCACGCUCAAGGUCCUAAACGAUAUCAUAACCACUAUCGAUAAGAGACAAUACUGUGCAGCUGUAUUCAUCGACCUGGCCAAGGCUUUCGACUCUGUCAAUCUUCAAAUUCUUAUCGGCAGACUCAUCAGCCUUGGUUUCUCAAAUGACUGCCUCGCCUGGUUCACCAACUACUUCUCAGACAGAGUUCAGUGUGUCAAAUCAGAGGGCCUGUUGUCCGGACCUCUGGCAGUCUCUAGGGGGAUGCCACAGGGUUCAAUCCUCGUGCCGACUUUUUUCUCUGAAUACAUCAAUGAUGUCGCUCUUGCUGUUGGUGAUUCUCGGAUCCACCUCUACCCAGACGACACCAUUUUGUAUGCUUCUGGCCCUUCUUUGGACACUGUGUUAACCAACCUCCAGACGAGCUUCAAUGCCACACAACUCUCCUUCCGUGACCUCCAACUGCUCUUAAAUGCAAGUAAAACUAAAUGCAUGCUCUUCAACCGAUCGCUACCCACACCUGCCUGCCCGUCCAGCAUCACUACCCUGGACGGUUCUGACUUAGAAUAUGUGGACAACUACAAAUACCUAGGUGUCUGGUUAGACUGUAAACUCUCCUUCCAGACUCACAUUAAGCAUCUCCAAUCCAAAAUUACAUCUAGAAUUGGCUUCCUAUUUCGCAACAAAGCAUCCUUCACUCAUGCUGCCAAACAUACCCUCGUAAAACUGACUAUCCUACCGAUCCUUGACUUUGGCGAUGUAAUUUACAAAAUAGCCUCCAACACUCUACUCAGCAAAUUGGAUGCAGUCUAUCACAGUGCCAUCCGUUUUGUCACCAAAGCCCCAUAUACUACCCACCACUGUGACCUGUAUGCUCUCGUUGGCUGGCCCUCACUUCAUAUUCGUCGCCAAACCCACUGGCUCCAUGUCAUCUGUAAGUCUUUGCUAGGUAAAACUCCCCUUUAUCUCAGCUCACCGGACACCAUAGCAGCAUCCACCCGUAACACGCGCUCCUGGAGGUGUAUUUCACUUGUCACCCCCAAAGCCAAUUCCUCCUUCGGCCGCCUUUCCUUCCAGUUCUCUGCUGCCAAUGACUGGAACGAACUGCAAAAAUCACUGAAGCUGGAGACUCAUAUCUCCCUCACUAGCUUUAAGCACCAGCUGUCAGAGCAGCUCACAGAUCACUGCACCUGUACAUAG
rnacentral:lncRNA from 13 species